rnacentral:rRNA from 1 species
UACGUAGGGUGCAAGCGUUGUCCGGAAUUAUUGGGCGUAAAGAGCGUGUAGGCGGCCCGGUUAGUCCGCUGUGAAAGUCCAGGGCUCAACCCUGGAAUGCCGGUGGAUACUGUCGGGCUAGAGUCCGGAAGGGGCGAGUGGAAUUCCUGGUGUAGCGGUGAAAUGCGCAGAUAUCGGGAGGAACACCCGUAGCGAAGGCGGCACUCAUGGGCCGUGACGUGAGCGC